UUCAAAAAUCUGUCACUUUUCUGGUUUUUAAUCAACCUUAGAGAUUUGAGAAAUGCAUCAAUUUCAACUAAGAAAUGUGAAAAAGUAGGCUGCGAGGUAGAGAAUUUUUGCUUAUGAAUAAAAGAUUUUCCGAACAAAAUAAAAAAAUUAAUAAUGAUGUAAUUUACUGGAGAAUUAGUUGUACAUUUAUAGCAACAAAUUCUAUCUUUUAACUGAAAGGAUUUGAAAGAAUCAAGGUGCUUACUUAUGAUGAUGAUAUAAACUAUUCCAAAAAUGUUGAGUUCUUUCACAUUGGUUAUUUACUGUAAAUCAGUGACUGCUGGCGUGCGCGCUCGUGCAAUAACAUGCCCAUAAAAGGAGUGGUGAGCCGAAACCAUUCAAUACUGCAUGGGGGUGUGCACUUAUUUUCAUAAUAUCCGGACGAGUAAUUACACGAAUUCAUAUUCAUUCUUAAGAUGGCUUAUGAACUCGUGACCAAAAUGAGUUUAUUGUUUAAUAUAUAGUUUAAUCGUGUCUGUUUGACACACUAAUCUGAAACACUGUGCCUCAGUUGACCCGCCCUGCUGAGUGGACGCGUCCGCGGAGCUCCGUUCUGCUGCUGAGUUCACUUCAAUCAAACUGCGAUUCAUGAAAAUCAACCUUGAUUUCUAGAUUUGACGAAAUGUGAUAAAUCGGCGGAUCGUGUCGUCAUGAGCGACGGAAAAGCGGCGCCUCACAGCGUACAGUACAAGUCGAGAAUGAGCGGAGGGAGCAGCAGUGUGCAGAUGGAGGAUCGCAACAUGCUGCGACGGAUGGAGAAGGAGAGAAGGAGUCAGGGGGUGCAGCAGGAGGAGAUGCAGUAUGACAGAAUCGCUCCUCUCUUCAGCAAGCCGUAUAAGAGAAUCAAAGAUGAUGAACUGUCCAGUCUCAUCCAGAGGAUGCUGGGUAAUUAUGAGGAUGGAUAUGACGGACCUGAGGAAUUUUGUCCUGCGCUUCCUUAUGACCGUUCCUCACACUUCCCUCACGUGGACGAGCAGUCUGUACAAAAGCAUCGCUCCAGAGACGCUCCAGACUGUGUGUCCGUCUCCGGCCCUCCUUCGGGUGAGAGCUGGGACAGUUUACCGGCCCUGUCUCCCCCGGUGGAGCCGCUGUCCCCUCUACAGUCCAGUGAAUCGGACGGCGGCCCGUCUCCAGAGCGCAGCAGCUCGAGCCGCAGGCCGGACGUGCCUCCGCUGACUCAUGCGCUCCCACUGAAUUUGCACGGAAAACUGGCCAACGCCAAGAAACCCACCGCAUAUGUGAGGCCGACGGUCGGUCAGGAUCAGGUGACCAGCGAUUCUCCCGAACUGAAGGCCUCACCGGAGUCUUAUGAGCACUUACAGGACCUGAAGGAUAGCAGCAAACCAAAGCUUCCUGCUCUGCAGUCGUCUGAUAUUGUGUCUGGUGUGCGUGUGGAGGACAUUCUACAGGAAAUGACCUCGUGGCCUCCACUACUGACGACCAUUUGCACGCCAACCACAGCAGAGCCAACUAAGUUCUCCUCCACUAAUGAGAAGCUGAUGAAUCAUCAGACAGAGUUCAGCUGGAAUCUCAAGGUGUUUCCAGCAGCUCCAGUGAUACUGACAGCAGUUCUGAAACAGACAGUGAAAAGAGCAGCAGCCCAGAUGAACCAGCAGCUCCUGAGACAUUACACACACAGCCACAGAAAGAGAGUGACUGGCAGUUAAGACGAUGGUUAGAAAGGAGGGAUCACCAGCAGAACCAUAAGAGCCCAUGUGAUGUCAUCAGGCCAAUCUCCCAGGAUUCCUCAGAAAGGACUGGUUCACAGAGUUGCCAUAGUGACCCGACUAAUGGUGGCAAAGCGUCCGAUCACAGACAGACUGUGGGGAGCAAGAACAGGUGUGAGGAUCCGCUGUUAGAAAGCACAGGCGUGGAGAUUUCCCAGCGUGCUGAAAAUACAUCCACACACAGAGUGAAACACAAGAGAAAGAAAACGGUACAUCACACGGAGCAGAAGAAAAAGACAACAGACAACAACAUCAGCAAACAAACAGACAGGAAACAGACACAUCAGCCGCUGCUGGUGAAGAUAGAGCUGAACCUGCUCUCCAGAAUCCCUCAGGGGCCCAAAUCAGCUCCAUCUCACGCAGAGAGCAACAGUGCGUCAGGACGCAAGAGAGCGGUGAAGAGGGAUGAAAAGUCUUCAAAGAAACCGAAACUGGACAAAGAGGGAAAACACUCUUCCUCCACUCAGCAAAGCCUCCACCAAUCAGAAUACACGAUGAUGAAGAAGAAGAAGAGUGUGAAACACAGCUCAGGUCUUCCUCAGGAGUCGCACAAAGACUCGGGACGUGAGCACCGCUCAGCUGCGGCUCCUGACGGCCAGCAGAAGAAAGCAGAGACUCAUGGGAAGAAAACCUGCAAGAGCCGCAAGGAGCUCCCGGAGAAACCGUGUCCACGAGCGCUGCUGCCGCCCGAUCGCAGGAAACUCUCAGUGGAAGAUCAUUUGAAGGAAGCCAAAAAACUGAAGCACAAAGCAGAUGCUACGGUGUUUAUCAAGCCUUGACAUUC
ensembl:lncRNA